rnacentral:rRNA from 1 species
AAGCUCCUACGGGACGCAGCAGUAGGGAAUCUUCCACAAUGGACGAAAGUCUGAUGGAGCAACGCCGCGUGAGUGAAGAAGGGUUUCGGCUCGUAAAGCUCUGUUGGUAGUGAAGAAAGAUAGAGGUAGUAACUGGCCUUUAUUUGACGGUAAUUACUUAGAAAGUCACGGCUAACUACGUGCCAGCAGCCGCGGUAAUACGUAGGUGGCAAGCGUUGUCCGGAUUUAUUGGG